rnacentral:rRNA from 1 species
AGGGUUUGAUCAUGGCUCAGAACGAACGCUGGCGGCAGGCCUAACACAUGCAAGUCGAGCGCGCCCUUCGGGGUGAGCGGCGGACGGGUUAGUAACGCGUGGGAACGUACCCAGAUCUACGGAAUAGCCUUUGGAAACGAAGAGUAAUACCGUAUACGCCCUUCGGGGGAAAGAUUUAUCGGAUUUGGAUCGGCCCGCGUUAGAUUAGAUAGUUGGUGGGGUAACGGCCUACCAAGUCUACGAUCUAUAGCUGGUUUUAGAGGAUGAUCAGCAACACUGGGACUGAGGCACGGCCCAGACUCCUACGGGAGGCAGCAGUGGGGAAUCUUGGACAAUGGGCGCAAGCCUGAUCCAGCCAUGCCGCGUGAGUGAUGAAGGCCCUAGGGUCGUAAAGCUCUUUCGCCAGGGAUGAUAAUGACAGUACCUGGUAAAGAAACCCCGGCUAACUCCGUGCCAGCCGCCGCGGUAAUAC